CAUCAUCUGCAUUUUGUUUUACUGAAGGAUAGAGAAGGAAUUGGAGAUUGGGGGUUGGUGGGGGAGAGGUUUUGAACUGUGUUUUAGUGCUUACAAUUUUUGUUUUUUGCUGUAUUUCACAUGUAUAUGUUUGUCUGAACAUGUGUUCAUGUUUUCUUGUGCUUUGGGGAGUUACUGCAUGAUGAGAUCUGGUCCUGCUGGGUGCCAGCACCUGGAUGGUAGACAUUUUCCAAGAUGCCUGGGUCUGGAGUCAGGUCUCUUCCACAAAUUGCUUCUGAAGGCUUCCUGUAUCUUUGUAUUAGGCUUUUCAACCCCAAAGGCUUCCAAACGCUUGACCAAUACAGAGACGCACAGAACUACAAUCACCUCUGGGGAGAAGGCCCAGCAGAUGCUAUAUGGCCCAAGAGAUUCUUGAGAAGAAAGGGAGGUUCUGGUGAGAACAUGCUUCUUAGUGACAAGCAAGGGGUUUUUAGUGUCCACACUGAGCAGGUGUAGUUACCCUGAAGCAGGGAGAGUGACACAGCAAGACGUUCUCUGUAGUGUUUUGCUGAGAGCAAGAAAUGCCUCAUAAUUCACUGUCCACCCUCCUGAAGGGAAGAGCUGAGAUUAAAUGAAGACAUUAUACAUUAUGAGACUUUCAGCCUGGGGUCAGCAUUAAAACAUGGUCCAACUCAGCAAGAAGGUAACAUUUGUGUCUGAUGCCUGUUACGUAGCCUAUCUGGAAUGAGUUUGGUGGGUCUCAGACUCUUGGUGGACCAAUGUGUACUACCCUACUGCAGACUUGGAUUAGCUGUGGUGACUGACGUGCCUGAUAAUAUAUGUUUGUAUUAUGAUAUUGGCACCUGUCUGCAUAGACUGUGCUCCUGCAAACAUAUCAGUAGAAAUUCUGAGAUAGGCUUCACUAUAGUGGUCUGUGGUUGCUAGUUCUCAGUGGCAGAAAUUGUGAGAGGUCCAAUUUAUAUCAGCUGAGGAUCUGCCCUAGGAUGCCUUUCUUUUAGGCUUGUGGUAAGGCUGGAUCCCCAAAUGCGGAUACUCCUUAGCAAAGGUGGCCCAUGAAAUGAGUCUGAUCCCUGCUGGGGAAGUUCCUGGUCAACCAGAUCUGCCAGGCUAGCUGGCCAUGUUAUGCACAUCCUUAUGGGUCACUGAUUUUAAAAGCAAACUGAUGAACCUAAUGGCACUAAAGCAAGUUGUGUGAUGGAUUGGAAAAGCCAGUCAUGUGUUGGAUUGAUCUCAACAGUGGACAUGGCCUCAGGCUGCAAAACUUGAGUCUCGACUUCCAUCUUCCCCUCCCCCUGCCAGCGUAACAGUCAUCAACAUUUGGCUGGGGGGUGAGGGUCCUUAGGUCUGUUGUUACAGGACUGGGAAGGAUAACAGGAGUUUCAAGGGUCACUCAUCUUCAUAUGGUUUAGAUGCUCUUCAUAUGGUUUAGAUGCUCCCUCCAUGGUUUAGAUGGGAGUGACUUGUAAACCUAGCAGCUGGAUUUGGCUUUAGAUUUUGAACACCUUGGUCUCAGAAUGAGGGGCUGGGGAGUCUAAAUUCAGGAGUUAUGCCAAAGGGUUAGUGGGGUGGAAAACCAUUAGCUGGGCAGGCCUGAUGUGAAGUCAAGGGCCUAACUUAUGUGAUUUCAAAAAAAUGGGUUUUAUAAAGUAACAGUAUUUUGUGAUGGGAUAAUGUCAAAAUAUCACAUAUCACUUUGUACACUUGUUCUUGAGCAGCCACUAAAAAUAACAAG